UACAGAGGUCCCAAGCGUUGUUCGGAUUCAUUGGGCGUAAAGCGUGCGCAGGCGGUUUUGUAAGUCUGUCGUGAAAUCCCCGGGCUCAACCUGGGAACUGCAUUUGUGACUGCAUCGCUGGAGUGCGGCAGAGGGGAUGGAAUUCCGCGUGUAGCAGGUGAAAUGCGUAGAUAUGCGGAGGAACACCGAUGGCGAAGGCAAUCCCCUGGGCCUGCACUGACGCUCAGUGCACGAAAGC
rnacentral:rRNA from 1 species